rnacentral:SRP_RNA from 3 species
UUACAAAGCUACUACAAUAUUAUCUCAUGAACCGUGUCAGGUCGGGAACGAAGCAGCACUAAGUGGGCGCUGGUAUGUGUAGUAGUUUUUUUUAUGUC